rnacentral:rRNA from 1 species
UACGUAGGCAGCGAGCGUUGUUCGGAGUUACUGGGCGUAAAGGGUGUGUAGGCGGUUUUCUAAGUUUGGUGUGAAAUCUCCCGGCUCAACCGGGAGGGUGCGCCGAAAACUGGGAGACUAGAGUGCGGGAUGGGAGAGUAGAAUUCCUGGUGUAGCGGUGAAAUGCGUAGAUAUCAGGAGGAACACCAGUGGCGAAGGCGACUUUCUGGCCUGUUCUUGACGCUGAGGCGCGAAAGCUAGGGGAGCAAACGGG